GCCUGGGUGGCUCAGUCGGUUGAGCGUCUGACCCUUGAUUUCAGCUCAGGUCAUGAUCUCACAGUUCGUGGGUUCGAGCCCCACCUUGGGCU
rnacentral:tRNA from 1 species